UUUGAAUGUAAUAAGUAAAAUCUAAAGGAUUAAUAGUUAUGAUCUUUAAAAUUAAAAAAUUUGGCGGUAUUUUAAUCUAUUUAGAGGAACCUGUUUUUUAAAUGAUAAUCCACGAUUAAUUAAACUUAUUUUUUAAAUUUUUAUAUCGUUGUAGGUUGAAUAUUUUAAUAGAAAUUUAAUAUUCAUAAUUUUAAAUAAAAAAAUAAAUCAAAUCAAGAUGAAGUUUAUAAAUAAGUAAAAAUGGGUUACAAUAAUGAAAAUUAAUAUGAAUAAUAAAUUGAAAUUUUUAUUUGAAGGUGGAUUUAAAAGUAAUUUUUUUUAUUUUUUAAAAAUGAUUAAAGUUUUAAAAUAUGU
rnacentral:rRNA from 1 species